rnacentral:rRNA from 1 species
GAUGAACGCUAGCUACAGGCUUAACACAUGCAAGUCGAGGGACCGGCGCACGGGUGAGUAACAAGUAUCCAACCUGCCCUUUACUCGGCGAUAGCCUUUCGAAAGAACGAUUAAUACCCGAUAUAAAGGAUGGGGAUGCGUUCCAUUAGGUUGGUGGUGAGGUAACGGCCCACCAAGCCUUCGAUGGAUAGGAGUUCGGAGUGGAAGGUCCCCCACAUUGGAACUGAGACACGUUCCAAACUCCUACGGGAGGCAGCAGUGAGGAGUAUUGGUCAAGGGGCGUUAGCCUGAACCAGCCAAGUAGAGUGAAGGAUGAAGGCUUAUGGGUCGUAAACUUCUUUUAAAGAAGAAUAUGUAUUAUAUGAAUAAGGACCGGCUAACUCCGUGCCAGCAGCCGCGGUAAUUC